rnacentral:rRNA from 1 species
UGAGGAAUAUUGGUCAAUGGGUGCAAGCCUGAACCAGCCAUCCCGCGUGAAGGACGACGGCCCUAUGGGUUGUAAACUUCUUUGUAUAGGGAUAAACCUACUCUCGUGACGGUAUCUGAAGGUACUAUACGAAUAAGCACCGGCUAACUCCGUG